rnacentral:rRNA from 1 species
GGUACUGCGGAGGACAUUAACGAGUUUUGAAAGGGGUUGUAGCUGGCCUUCCGAGGCAUGUGCACGCCCUGCUCAUUCCACUCUACACCUGUGCACUUACUGUGGGUCUCAGGCGAGCGUCGGUCGCUUCGCGGCGUCGUCGUUCAACUGGGCUCACGUUUUACUACAAACUAUUAAAGUAUCAGAAUGUCUACUGCGAAUUAACGCAUUUAAAUACAACUUUCAGCAACGGAUCUCUUGGCUCUCGCAUCGAUGAAGAACGCAGCGAAAUGCGAUAAGUAAUGUGAAUUGCAGAAUUCAGUGAAUCAUCGAAUCUUUGAACGCACCUUGCGCUCCUUGGUAUUCCGAGGAGCAUGCCUGUUUGAGUGUCAUGAAAUUCUCAACCUAACGAGUCUUUGCGGGCUCGGUAGGCUUGGACUUGGAGGUUCUUGUCGGCCUAACGGUCGGCUCCUCUUAAAUGCAUUAGCUCGGUUCCUUGCGGAUCGGCUCACGGUGUGAUAAUUGUCUACGCCGCGACCGCUGAAGCGUUUUGGCCGGCUUCUAAUCGUCUCGUUGGAGACACUACUCUUUAUGACCUUCUGACCUCAAAUCAGGUAGGACUACCCGCUGAACUUAAGCAUAUCAAAAAGCGGGAAGGAAAA